GGUGAGAUGGCCGAGUGGUUAUGGCGCUGCGUUCAGGUUCACAACUUGGAUAUGAUAGUUACAAAAUAUCGCAGUGGAGCAAUCCGCGUGGGUUCGAGUCCCACUCUCAUCA
rnacentral:tRNA from 1 species